UACGUAGGGUGCAAGCGUUAAUCGGAAUUACUGGGCGUAAAGCGUGCGCAGGCGGUUUUGUAAGUUUUGUCGUGAAAUCCCCGGGCUCAACCUGGGAAUGGCGAUGAAGACUGCAAGGCUAGAAUCUGGCAGAGGGGGGUAGAAUUCCACGUGUAGCAGUGAAAUGCGUAGAGAUGUGGAGGAAUACCCGAUGGCGAAGGC
rnacentral:rRNA from 1 species